rnacentral:rRNA from 1 species
GCUAAUACCGCAUACGACCUUCGGGUGAAAGCAGGGGACUUCGGGCCUUGCGCGGAUAGAUGAGCCGAUGUCGGAUUAGCUAGUUGGCGGGGUAAAGGCCCACCAAGGCGACGAUCCGUAGCUGGUCUGAGAGGAUGAUCAGCCACACUGGAACUGAGACACGGUCCAGACUCCUACGGGAGGCAGCAGUGGGGAAUAUUGGACAAUGGGCGCAAGCCUGAUCCAGCCAUACCGCGUGGGUGAAGAAGGCCUUCGGGUUGUAAAGCCCUUUUGUUGG